rnacentral:rRNA from 1 species
GAUGAACGCUGACAGAAUGCUUAACACAUGCAAGUCUACUUGAAUUUGGGUUUUUUAACUUAGAUUUGUGUGUCGGACGGGUGAGUAACGCGUAAAGAACUUGCCUCCCAGCUAGGGACAACAUUUGUAAACGAAUGCUACUACCUGCUAUUAUGAUUAUAAGUCAUCUUAGACUUAUGAUAGCUAUAUUCGCUGUUAGAGAGCUUUGCGUCCCAUUAGCUAGUUGGAGAGGUAACGGCUCACCAAGGCGACGAUGGUUAGCCUGCCUGAGAGGGUGAACGGCCAGAAGGGGACGGAGACACGGACCUUACACAUACGGGAGGGAGCAGUGGGGAAGAAUGGACAAAGGACCAAGAGUAUGAUCAAGCAAUUAUGUGUGGACGAUGACGUUGUUCGGAAUGUAAAGUGCUUUCAGUAGGGAAGAAAAAAAUGACGGUACCAACAGAAGAAGUGACGGCUAAAUACGUG